GCGACCAUGGCGCAGUCGUCAGCGCGUAAGUCUCAUAAUCUUAAGGUCGUGAGCUCGAGCCUCACUGGUCGCA